rnacentral:rRNA from 1 species
UACGGAGGGUGCAAGCGUUAUCCGGAUUCACUGGGUUUAAAGGGUGCGUAGGUGGGCAGGUAAGUCAGUGGUGAAAUCUCCGGGCUUAACUCGGAAACUGCCAUUGAUACUAUCUUUCUUGAAUACCGUGGAGGUCAGCAGAAUAUGUCAUGUAGCGGUGAAAUGCUUAGAUAUGACAUAGAACACCAAUUGCGAAGGCAGCUGGCUACACGAAUAUUGACACUGAUGCACGAAAGCGUGGGGAUCAAACAGG